UGGGUUUGAUGAUGAAAGAAAUGGAGAGGUGAUGAUUCACUGUGUUCAAGUGAUCCAAUUUUAAUCUCUAUUCGCUACGUUCUUUCUGAAAUCCUU